rnacentral:rRNA from 1 species
UUGUCUCAAAGAUUAAGCCAUGCAUGUCUAAGUAUAAGCAAUCUAUACAGUGAAACUGCGAAUGGCUCAUUAAAUCAGUUAUCGUUUAUUUGAUAGUACCUUACUACUUGGAUAACCGUGGUAAUUCUAGAGCUAAUACAUGCUAAAAAUCCCGACCUCUGGAAGGGAUGUAUUUAUUAGAUAAAAAACCAAUGCCUUCGGGCUCCUUGGUGAUUCAUGAUAACUUUACGAAUCGCAUGGCCUUGUGCCGGCGAUGGUUCAUUCAAAUUUCUGCCCUAUCAACUUUCGAUGGUAGGAUAGUGGCCUACCAUGGUUUCAACGGGUAACGGGGAAUUAGGGUUCUAUUCCGGAGAGGGAGCCUGAGAAACGGCUACCACAUCCAAGGAAGGCAGCAGGCGCGCAAAUUACCCAAUCCCGACACGGGGAGGUAGUGACAAUAAAUACUGAUACAGGGCCCUUUCGGGUCUUGUAAUCGGAAUGAGUACAAUUUAAAUCCCUUAACGAGGAACAAUUGGAGGGCAAGU